UGCGGGGUCGUCUAAUGGUAGGACAUGGCCCUUUGAAGGCCAGUAUGAGCGUUCGAAUCGUUCCCCCGCAGCAA
rnacentral:tRNA from 1 species